rnacentral:rRNA from 1 species
GACGAACGCUGGCGGCGUGCCUAAUACAUGCAAGUAGAACGCUGAAGAGAGGAGCUUGCUCUUCUUGGAUGAGUUGCGAACGGGUGAGUAACGCGUAGGUAACCUGCCUUGUAGCGGGGGAUAACUAUUGGAAACGAUAGCUAAUACCGCAUAACAAUGGAUGACACAUGUCAUUUAUUUGAAAGGGGCAAUUGCUCCACUACAAGAUGGACCUGCGUUGUAUUAGCUAGUAGGUGAGGUAAUGGCUCACCUAGGCGACGAUACAUAGCCGACCUGAGAGGGUGAGCGGCCACACUGGGACUGAGACACGGCCCAGACUCCUACGGGAGGCAGCAGUAGGGAAUCUUCGGCAAUGGGGGCAACCCUGACCGAGCAACGCCGCGGGAGUGAAGAAGGUUUUCGGAUCGGAAAGCUCUGUUGUAAGUCAAGAACGGGUGUGAGAGUGGAAAGUUCACACUGUGACGGUAGCUUACCAGAAAGGGACGGCUAACUACGUG